GGAGAGUCACCACAGAGCUGGCUCUCAGUCAGAGGUGAUUCUGCAGCUCAGCCCGGUGAUGUCACUCAUGCUCAGAUUGUCACUACUGAAACGUUUCUUGAAAGAAAUGUAUCAGAUGAAGCAAUGCCAAGACUAAAUGAUGUGACAUUCUCAAAUCAAGAUGAAAAACCUGAAACACUGUGGAAAAGUUGAGCUUUACCUAUUAUACACAUAACACAAAGCACUGGCUCCACCAUGCAAUGCCAUCAAAAACAAAAUUGCUGAACAAU